UACGUAGGAGGCGAGCGUUGUCCGGAAUUACUGGGCGUAAAGAGCGCGUAGGUGGCGCGAUACGACCGGUGUGAAAGCCUCCGGCUCAACUGGAGGGGGUCACUGGUAACGGUCGUGCUAAGAGUGCAGGAGAGGGACGUGGAACUCCUGGUGUAGCGGUGAAAUGCGCAGAUAUCAGGAGGAACACCGGUGGCGAAGGCGGGUCUCUGGGCCAAAACUGACGCUGGAGGAGCGAAAGCGUGGGGAGCGAACAGG
rnacentral:rRNA from 1 species